rnacentral:rRNA from 1 species
AUUGAACGCUGGCGGCAGGCUUAACACAUGCAAGUCGAGCGGGGUGAUGGUGCUUGCACUAUCACUUAGCGGCGGACGGGUGAGUAAUGCUUAGGAAUCUGCCUAUUAGUGGGGGACAACAUCUCGAAAGGGAUGCUAAUACCGCAUACGUCCUACGGAAGAAAGCAGGGGAUCACUUGUGACCUUGCGCUAAUAGAUGAGCCUAAGUCGGAUUAGCUAGUUGGUGGGGUAAAGGCCUACCAAGGCGGCGAUCUGUAGCGGGUCUGAGAGGGUGAUCCCCCCACCUGGGACUGGGACACGGCCCAGACUCCUACGGGAGGCAGCAGUGGGGAAUAUUGGACAAUGGGGGGAACCCUGAUCCAGCCAUGCCGCGUGUGUGAAGAAGGCCUUAUGGUUGUAAAGCACUUUAAGCGAGGAGGAGGCUCUUUUGGUUAAUACCCAAGAUGAGUGGACGUUACUCGCAGAAUAAGCACCGGCUAACUCUGUGCCAGCAGCCGCCGUAA